AAGGGCGGAGCACGAUAAUGAUGAACAGUGCAGGUGGUGGUGGGAUGGAGCCGCGCGCGCCGCCGGAAAAAUCUAGGUUAAUCGGAACAGAUGAAGACGAAAAAUGAAUGUGAAAACGGGAUCGGGGGGGGGGGGGGGAGCGAGGACCACCGACGUGUCCUUUGACAAAAAACCCUUCUGAGCGGACCUCUAGCGGACCCAGGUGGUUGAAAAAUACUAUUGUCAAAAAGCGACGCGUU
ensembl:ncRNA F13D11.17 ncRNA